UACGGAGGGUGCAAGCGUUGUCCGGAAUCACUGGGCGUAAAGGGCGCGUAGGCGGACGGCUUUGUCGGGCGUGAAAUUCCAGGGCUUAACCUUGGGGCUGCGUUCGAGACGGGUUGUCUAGAGUUUGGAAGAGGGUCGUGGAAUUCCCAGUGUAGAGGUGAAAUGCGUAGAUAUGUGGAGGAAUACCGAUGGCGAAGGCAGCCCCCUGGGAUAACACUGACGCUCAUGCACGAAAGCGUGGGGAGCAAACAGG
rnacentral:rRNA from 1 species